UGGGGUACAACUCUGCCAGUGCUCCCUACCCAGUGCAAGGGGUUCCUGCAGCUGCAAGCACAGCUCUCCGAGCUGGUGAACCUUGUCCUGGAGCAGAGCUUCAGCUCUAGCAACCCAUGAAGGACUCACACGUAACAGCUUAGGAGCUCCUGUUCAUGGUGCGGGAUACAGGCACAACGAAAGGAGUCCUGGAGUCUGACCCGGAGCAUACACUCCCAUGGUGUGGCUUUGCUAAUCGGGGCUGCUUUCUGCCCAAGAGCAGCAGUUAACAAAAUAUUGUGCUUAUUAUCAUCAUCACAGCCAAAUAUUCCCUUUUAACCCCUAAGGCUGAAACAACCUCGGUGUUAACUCGGAGCUGCCAGGUGCCAUGCACUGUUCAGGCUCUGCAGGAGCAUACCUACAGCUCCUGCACUGAGCUCCCAUUGUUUUCUCUUCGGAUGAUGCCAUCUUGGGACUUUUCCAUCCUUCUUGCCAAUAUAAUGUUGUAUUUCAUUCAAAUAAAACUUGAUCGGAAUACAAGAGAUCACUUUCAUUUCUAUUUUAGGGAAGAAAGGCUGCAGCAUCUGCGCAUCACCUAAUGGAAAAGACCUGAGAAUAAAAGAGCUCAGGCCCUUUAGAAAUCUUUCAGAGAGAAGAUGUAGCUCUCCUUCAUGUCCUUCAGAAUUAACAUAUCUCACUUUGUACAUGCUCAGCAGCAAGGUUCCUAAAUUUGCUUCCCAAUAACCCACAGAUACAGCAUCGCAGUGCUGUUGCUGGCUGGAUUGUAAAGCAGGUGAGAACAGGAUGGGCAGUGAGGGGUUGCUGCCUCUUGUGAUGCUUUCCUGGCCACCAGCUAUCAGCACCUUGGGGACAUCUCAGACUAGAGGUUUGCAUGGAGAUUAUUGGGUUUAGUAGCUGCCAGAGGAUGUGUCACCCAUUAAUUUGUCUAAUCCUUCCUUGAGCAGAUACACUUUUCAUUCUGCAGUGCCCUCUGGCAAUGGUUGCCACUGUUUGACUCCUUUCAUUCACAGGAUCUUUCGCUCUCAUGAUAAUAAAUGCAGCUCACGGUGCUGAGCAGGAUGGAUUCUGAUGCUCCAGUCUGCAAAACCAACAGGGGCUCACAGAGUCAGCAUUGUGGAUCCUGGAGAAACAAGGAUCGUUUUAUUUGAUGGGCCUUAAUAAGGUUUAUUUCUGCACAGAUUUAACCCAAAGAUUGUCAUGACCAUCUCAGGUCCCAUGUGGCUUACAGGAUUGAACUUGAAGAAGCAUCAUUCAACAGCGGCUGGUGAUGGAGUGAUUCCAGGCCUGGGACUGCCUCCAGCCAACUGACUUCCCUUCUGUGGCACCAGAUUUGCAUUCAUUAAACCCAGAGUUUUAAUGAUUUAUGGAGAUUAAUACAAAAAUAGCGGCCCAGAGGUUCUGAUGCUCCCAAAGCUUCUGACAGAGGUACAACACAUCAUAAAUCCAUCCCCAUGUGAAACACUGAAUCAAAAUCAUUGUGGAAGAACUGCAAGUGUUAACAUGAGCCGUAAAAUCAGGGGUUUGGUCAAACUAAAAGGAUCAGAGCCUCCUAAGCCUGAGGAGAUAGAAACCCAUGUAAAAACAAUAAUAUAAUUAUUAUAAUGUUAAUAAUAAUAAUAUGAUUACCAUUGUUAAUUACAAUCACUGCCCUGAUAGUUCUCAGCUGUAAUGAUGGAUGGGGCAGAGAUGGCCCAGGAUAGAGGUGGCCCCAUCCUUUCAGAAACAACCUCUGUGCCACUACCAAACACCAGCCAAGCCAAAACCUCGGUGCUUUCCAGUUUGAAAGGGAAGCCACCAGCAGCAUCAGCUGCUGACAGCUCUAUAUCCAGUCUGGCUGAGCUUGGCAGGUGAGGAAGCAAAAGGAGAUGGUCUUGAGAUGAGAGAGUGGCAGAGGUGAGGAAGAUUGAGGCCAGAAGCUGUCAAGGAAAACUGAUGUGCAUCUCCAGCAGUGCAGGGGAGCGGGCUGUGUCUGUUCAUCUCCCCCCCAUCUCCCCUGGAGGUGCCUGUGGCUCACAGCAGGACAAGGACUACACUCUGGUGAGCACUUCUCCAAUCCUUCUGCGAUGCAUUUCUCCCUUUCCUCCCAUUGCACCCUUCUCUUCUGCAGGUUUGCAGAGCCAGGAGAGGAACUGAGUGAGGCUCAAAUUUAGUUUGUGUCAAGCCCCCAGUUCCCUUAUGCUUAGGUCCCUGCCACCCUGCCCAUGUUCCCCUCUGUGCUCCCCAAACCUUGCCCAUCAUUCCACCCCCUGCCUCCCCCAGCUUUCAUUGCAUCAUGCAUGCUUCAUGCCUUUCUAUAGCUUUGGCAAAUGAAUGCAAAUGAAUUCCAGCUUCUCCUAUCCCUUAAAAUAGCUGCAAACAUCCAGGAUAAGCCUGGUCCUGGGAAGAUGCUGGGUUCUGGAGGAGCCACUCCUGCAGCAAGGUGUGCAUUGUCUCAUGCUGAGCCCUGGAGGCUUUAAAACUGGAGUUUAAAACAGCCUUGCCCCUGGGACAGACUCCUUUCAUUUACAAGUGAAUCAGCAGGGAUGGCAGGACUGAUUUGCCAUAUGCUGCCCAGCAUCUUCUAAAGAUUUCUGUAGGAGAUGAUAGAUUUCUUUCAGGUAACCACCAUGUUUUCUUGCUGCACCUUCUCCCUUGACCACAUUCUCAGUUAGUAUUAGCUCAUGCAAAUCAUAGGACAAGCUCCAUAUCUUUACAUCUCCCUCACCCAAGAGGAUGAGACAAAACAAUCACCAAAACUGAUGCAAAAGAAUCACUGUGCACCUCUGAGGACAGCCUCACCAAAGGCAGGAUGGGCCAAAAUGUAUUUGGAGAAGUGAGCAUAACUGAGGAGGAGGGAUGCAUCACCCUGAAGCUGGACACAUUGAUGAAUGCAGCUCGGUACGGUUGAACAGGAAAUGUGGAGGGGGUUCCCAGCUCAGAUGCUUCUGACACACUGCUUCACCUUUGCACGUUUGUUGUCCUUUCCACCCUGUUUAUUUAAAACAG